AGUGAACGCUGGCGGUAGGCCUAACACAUGCAAGUCGAACGGCAGCACAGGAGAGCUUGCUCUCUGGGUGGCGAGUGGCGGACGGGUGAGGAAUACAUCGGAAUCUACCUUUUCGUGGGGGAUAACGUAGGGAAACUUACGCUAAUACCGCAUACGACCUACGGGUGAAAGUGGGGGACCGCAAGGCCUCACGCGAUUAGAUGAGCCGAUGUCCGAUUAGCUAGUUGGCGGGGUAAUGGCCCACCAAGGCGACGAUCGGUAGCUGGUCUGUGAGGAUGAUCAGCCACACUGGAACUGAGACACGGUCCAGACUCCUACGGGAGGCAGCAGUGGGGAAUAUUGGACAAUGGGCGCAAGCCUGAUCCAGCCAUACCGCGUGGGUGAAGAAGGCCUUCGGGUUGUAAAGCCCUUUUGUUGGGAAAGAAAUCCUAUCGGUUAAUAACCGGUGGGGAUGACGGUACCCAAAGAAUAAGCACCUGCUAACUUCGUGCCAGCCGCCGCCGUAAGAC
rnacentral:rRNA from 1 species